rnacentral:rRNA from 1 species
UACAGAGGGGGCUAGCGUUGUUCGGAAUUACUGGGCGUAAAGCGCACGUAGGCGGUUUGUUAAGUCAGAGGUGAAAUCCCGGAGCUCAACUCCGGAACUGCCUUUGAUACUGGCAAACUAGAGUUCGGAAGAGGUUAGUGGAAUUCCCAGUGUAGAGGUGAAAUUCGUAGAUAUUGGGAAGAACACCAGUGGCGAAGGCGGCUAACUGGUCCGAUACUGACGCUGAGGUGCGAAAGCGUGGGGAGCAAACAGG